CCUACGGGUGGCAGCAGUGGGGAAUAUUGCACAAUGGGGGAAACCCUGAUGCAGCGACGCCGCGUGAGUGAAGAAGUAAUUCGUUAUGUAAAGCUCUAUCAGCAGGGAAGAAAAUGACGGUACCUGAGUAAGAAGCCCCGGCUAACUACGUGCCAGCAGCCGCGGUAAUACGUAGGGGGCAAGCGUUAUCCGGAUUUACUGGGUGGAAAGGGAGCGUAGACGGCAGUGCAAGUCUGGAGUGAAAGGCGGGGGCUCAACCCCCGGACUGCUCUGGGAACUGUACGGCUGGAGUGCAGGAGAGGUAAGUGGAAUUCCUAGUGUAGCGGUGAAAUGCGUAGAUAUUAGGAGGAACACCAGUGGCGAAGGCGGCUUACUGGACUGUAACUGACGUUGAGGCUCGAAAGCGUGGGUAGCAAACAGGAUUAGAUACCCCAGUAGUC
rnacentral:rRNA from 1 species